AAUUAUGAACUCUUGUAUGUUCACCACCAAAAGAUAUUCUAUUAACUAUGGAAGUCUACAUAUCGAAUCCUAGGAUAGCUGCUUUAAUACUCCACUAACUGAAGUUUGUCCUGUCUUAAUUGUUAUUGUUUUCAAUUUACAUGUAGAAUUUCUAAUCUUCUAUGCAUUGAUGAAGCUUCCUAGGAAUUGGAUGCAUUUGCAUUUCUUGCGUGCAAUUGGAAUUGCAAUGUCCAUGAGAGCAGGCAUUGCUGCAGAUGCUGCAGCUGCUUUACUUUUUCGAAUACUUUCACAACCUGCUCUGCUGUUUCCUCCAUUAAGACAAGUUGAAGGAAUUGAAGGUCAACAUGAACAGGUUCGAAUACUUUCACAACCUGCUCUGCUCUUUCCUCCAUUAAGACAAGUUGAAGGAAUUGAAGGUCAACAUGAACAG
rnacentral:lncRNA from 1 species